rnacentral:rRNA from 1 species
UACGUUCCCGGGCCUUGUACACACCGCCCGUCACACCACGAAAGUCGGCAAUACCCGAAGCCGGUCGCCUAACCCGUAAGGGAGGGAGCCGUCUAAGGUAGGGUUGAUGAUUGGGGUG